rnacentral:rRNA from 1 species
UGGGGAAUAUUGCACAAUGGGCGAAAGCCUGAUGCAGCGACGCCGCGUGAGGGAUGACGGCCUUCGGGUUGUAAAACCUCUUUCAGCAGGGAAGAAGCGAAAGUGACGGUACCUGCAGAAGAAGCGCCGGCUAACUACGUGCCAGCAGCCGCGGUAAUACGUAGGGCGCAAGCGUUGUCCGGAAUUAUUGGGCGUAAAGAGCUCGUAGGCGGUUAGUCGCGUCUGCUGUGAAAACUCGAGGCUCAACCUCGGGCUUGCAGUGGGUACGGGCUGACUAGAGUGCAGUAGGGGUGACUGGAAUUCCUGGUGUAGCGGUGGAAUGCGCAGAUAUCAGGAGGAACACCGAUGGCGAAGGCAGGUCACUGGGCCGCAACUGACGCUGAGGAGCGAAAGCAUGGGGAGCGAACAGGAUUAGAUACCCUGGUAGUCCAUGCCGUAAACGUUGGGCACUAGGUGUGGGUCCAUUCCACGGAUUCCGUGCCGCAGC